rnacentral:rRNA from 1 species
UACGUAGGGUGCGAGCGUUGUCCGGAAUUAUUGGGCGUAAAGGGGCUCGUAGCGGUUUGUCGCGUCGGGAGUGAAAAUCCAGGGCUUAACUCUGGACUGGCUUCCGAUACGGGCAGACUAGAGGUAUGCAGGGGAGAACGGAAUUCCUGGUGUAGCGGUGAAAUGCGCAGAUAUCAGGAGGAACACCGGUGGCGAAGGCGGUUCUCUGGGCCUUACCUGACGCUGAGGAGCGAAAGCGUGGGGAGCAAACAGG